AUUGAACGCUGGCGGCAGGCCUAACACAUGCAAGUCGAACGGUAGCACAGAGAGCUUGCUCUCGGGUGACGAGUGGCGGACGGGUGAGUAACGUCUGGGAAACUGCCCGAUGGAGGGGGAUAACUACUGGAAACGGUAGCUAAUACCGCAUAACGUCGCAAGACCAAAGGGGGGGACCUUCGGGCCUCACACCAUCGGAUGUGCCCAGAUGGGAUUAGCUAGUAGGUGGGGUAAUGGCUCACCUAGGCGACGAUCCCUAGCUGGUCUGAGAGGAUGACCAGCCACACUGGAACUGAGACACGGUCCAGACUCCUACGGGGGGCAGCAGUGGGGAAUAUUGCACAAUGGGCGCAAGCCUGAUGCAGCCAUGCCGCGUGUAUGAAGAAGGCCUUCGGGUUGUAAAGUACUUUCAGCGGGGAGGAAGGCGGUGGAGUUAAUAACUUCACCGAUUGACGUUACCCGCAGAAGAAGCACCGGCUAACUCCGUGCCAGCCGCCGCCGUAA
rnacentral:rRNA from 1 species